rnacentral:rRNA from 1 species
AGAAUCAACGCUGGCGGCGUGCCUAACACAUGCAAGUCGAACGAGAAAGGGGCUUCGGCCCUGAGUAAAGUGGCGCACGGGUGAGUAACACGUGAAUCAUCUACCUUUGAGUGGGAAUAGCUGAGGAAACCUUAAUUAAUACCGCAUAAUACCUACGGGUCAAAGCCGAAAGGCGCUUAAAGAGGAGUUCGCGGCAGAUUAGUUAGUUGGCGGGGUAAUGGCCCACCAAGACGAUGAUCUGUA